rnacentral:lncRNA from 1 species
GGAGGCUCUUCACCUGCAAUAUCUACCAGGCCCACACAUUGUUCUGCCGCCUCUCCUACAGAGCAUCUUGAUCACUGUGGCCUUUGUCCUCCUACCACAACGAGCGGCUCCGUGGAGAGCCAGGCAGAAAGAGGUCCCUGUAAAUCAGAGAGCAUGGGGGUCCAAAGAACAUACCUUUCCUUUGGACUUGGCAUAUGCUGGACUCAAGUUCAGGGUCAUAGUUAUAAACCAAACUGGCUUAAAAUACUGCCCC